rnacentral:tRNA from 1 species
GGGGUUGUAGCUCAGUGGUAGAGCACUUGCCUUACAUGCGUGAGGGCCUGGAGUUGAUCCUCAGCACCA